rnacentral:rRNA from 1 species
AGUGAACGCUGGCGGUAGGCCUAACACAUGCAAGUCGAACGGCAGCACAGUAAGAGCUUGCUCUUACGGGUGGCGAGUGGCGGACGGGUGAGGAAUACAUCGGAAUCUACUUUUUCGUGGGGGAUAACGUAGGGAAACUUACGCUAAUACCGCAUACGACCUACGGGUGAAAGCAGGGGAUCUUCGGACCUUGCGCGAUUGAAUGAGCCGAUGUCGGAUUAGCUAGUUGGCGGGGUAAAGGCCCACCAAGGCGACGAUCCGUAGCUGGUCUGAGAGGAUGAGAAGCCACACUGGAACUGAGACACGGUCCAGACUCCUACGGGAGGCAGCAGUGGGGAAUAUUGGACAAUGGGCGCAAGCCUGAUCCAGCCGUACCGCGUGGGUGAAGAAGGCCUUCGGGUUGUAAAGCCCUUUUGUUGGGAAAGAAAAGCAGCAGGUUAAUACCCCGCUGUUCUGACGGUACCCAAAGAAUAAGCACCGGCUAACUUCGUG